rnacentral:misc_RNA from 1 species
CAGAGUUCGUGCCCUUACGGGUAGAUCUCCCACCCUAUGUUAUUAUUACUCUGUUGCUUUGGCGGGACGUCGAGGUUCGCCUCCCCACCGGCUCCAGCUGGUGUGUGCCCGCCAGAGGACCCAAAACCCUGAAUAUUAGUGUCGUCUGAGUACUAUAUAAUAGUUA